UUCAUGUUAGUAAAUGUAUUAACCUUAUUGUAAAGUUUUACCAUAAAGUGUUACUGAAAUUUAAAAGCAACAUUGAUCUAUCUUGCUUUUUCUGUGAAAUUUCCACUGAAAGUGUAGCUCACUUAUUUUGGGAAUGUCCUUUUGUUUAAUCUUUUUAGAUUAAUGUGUUUGAAUUAUUAAAUAAAUAAAUAAAUCAUUGAUCUCGCCAUGUGAUUUGUCAUUAUGCAGCAAAAUAUGAGCCCCCAUUGUGUCCUACCUGACAGCCUCGUUUGCAGGACUGUGAGGAGUGGCUGCUGGACCCGAUUCGUCUGUCUGUUUCCUGUUUGCUACAGCCCUAUAUCCCUCAUGAACUCACUCAUUUAAUUUGUCCUGUCUAGUUUAUUCUGACUGUGUCAAAUAAACUUUUACUCGC